GAAAUGCGAUAAGUAGUGUGAAUUGCAGAAUUCAGUGAAUCAUCGAAUCUUUGAACGCACAUUGCGCCCCUUGGUAUUCCAUGGGGCAUGCCUGUUCGAGCGUCAUUUGUACCCUCAAGCUCUGCUUGGUGUUGGGUGUUUGUCCCCGUCUCCGCGCGUGGACUCGCCCCAAAGUGAUUGGCAGCCGGCGUACUGGUCCCGGAGCGCAGCACAUGUCGCGCAAACGAGUGCCUUGGUACGGCGGCGUCCAUAAGCCCCUCACUCACGCUCUUGACCUCGGAUCAGGUAGGGAUACCCGCUGAACUUGAGC
rnacentral:misc_RNA from 1 species